rnacentral:lncRNA from 1 species
CGAUUUUGAUUCCAAACCAUUCUGAUUUUCAUUUUCAUUCCGAUUUUAGUUAAGAACCAAACACCCCCAAGACUGUUUAAUAAUUUCUUCACAGUACCGUGAUACAGACUCUUCCUCCAUUUUCAGACCUUGUCUCCAAGCUUCUUUCCUAACAUUCCAUGUCUGCACAUUGGUAGUAUCCUUGUCAUGCAGAUUCUGAGAGAAGACAAAGCAAUUAAACCCAAUAGAAGGUCAAUACAGGAUCACAUGGAUGAGUCAGCACAAUAGUAACUAAUAACAAGAGAAUUCAGCCUACUCCACAAGCCA